rnacentral:rRNA from 1 species
AAGCUGUUAGAUGGAUGACUUGGUUCGAAACGCCGAUGAAGGACGUGACAAGCUACGAAAUGCUUCGGCGAGUUGAAUGUAGACAUUGAACCGAAGAUUUCCGAAUGAGACUUCUCAUUUAAAGACUCUUCAUGAGUCGGGGAACGCAGGGAAUUGAAGCGUCUUAGUACCUGCAGGAAUAAAAAUCAAUUGAGAUAUCGUUAGUAACAGCGAGCGAACGCGAUACAGUCCAAACUGAAUCCGUUAUAGUAAUAUAAUGGAGAUGUGGUUUUUGGACUUCCUUUUCAACCUUCUUUUUGACUCGAAGUUUACUGGAAAGUAACACAGUACAGGGUGAUAGUCCCGUAGAGGAAAGAAAGAAGGUUUUGGAAGUAUCCAGAGUAUUGCUUCUUGAAAAUGAAGUGAGAAUAUGGGGGGCAUUAACCUCUAAGACUAAAUACGUUUCGAAUCCGAUAGCAUAAAGUACCGUGAGGGAAAGUUGAAAAGAACUCUUGAUAGAGAGUUAAAAGAUUCUGAAAUCUAGCAGUGAUAGUGUGUCAGGGCUUUUAGGAGUUCUGACGUUCGUUUUGAAUAACGGGCCAGAGAGUGUAUCUAUGUGGCAAGGAUAACCUGAAAAUGGGCAUCCACAGCGAAAGCAAGUUCCCGCAGUUUACGAGGGGAAUGGUAUGAAAGUGCCACAAGUCACAUGGGUACGACCUGAAACCGAGCGAUCUAUUCCUGGGCAAGGUGAAGCGGGGGUAAGACCUCGUGGAGGCCUGAAGAAGUUCUGCGUGCAAGCGUUUUUCUGACCUGGGAAUAGGGGUGAAAAGCCAAUCGAGCUCGGCGAUAGCAGGUUCCUGCCGAAAUUGACCUUAGUCAAGUCUCAGACGAGGUCGUUAUGGUUGUAGAGCUACGGAUAGGGGAUUUAGGCGGAGAAAUCUGUCGGUCUCUUGUCCAACUCCAAAUGCUAUAACACCGUAGACUCUGGGAAACAGGGAGUCUUGGGGUAAACUUGAUUUCCGAGAGGGGAACAACCCAGACUAUGGUUAAGGCCCCUAAGUGUCAGCUAAGUGAUAAAGGGUAAAGGGUGUUCGUGAUCUUAGACAGUGAGGAGGUUGGCUUAGAAGCAGCCAUCCUUUAAAAAAUGCGUAACAGCUUACUCGUUGAGGUCGUGGGCCUGGAAAAUUGACGGGUCUAAGCUGACCGCCGAUACCAUAGACUACGCAAGUAGGCGUAGGCAGGCGUACGUAUAGGAUAGAAGUUUUCUUGUAAGAGGAGAUGGACCUGUACGUAAUGAAAAUUCUGGUGAAAGUAGGAUCUUAGUAAGGUGAGAAUCCUUAUCAUCGUAAGGGCAAGGGUUCCUUGGCAAUGUCAAUCAGCCAAGGGUUAGUCGGUCCUAACCAAUCUCGUAAUGGAGUAAUGGGAAAGGGAAAGUGGUUAAUAUUCCACUACUAUUUUAGUAUGUGCGGCAACGCAAGCUAUGUUUCUAACGCUUUUGAAUAGGUUAAUAUCUCUCGUCGGAGGUAUUAAUACAGAUAAGUCAUGGGAGUAUCGUAAUGAUGAGAACAUGAGUAAACUGUAGAACAGCAGGCUUAUAGUCUGUUUAGCUGAUUUCUAGAGUCCAUGAAAAGGAAACAUUGAAAGAUCUAAAAUAACCGUACCCAGAACCGGCACUGGUGCCCCUAGGUGAGAAGCCUAAGAUGUGUGAGUUUAAUCUAGAUUAGGGAAUUCGGCAAAUUAGUCCUGUACCUUCGGUAUAAGGGAUCCCUGCAUUCGUAUCUGUAUAGGUGCGAUUCCAGGGUGCAAUUACAAAGGUGAUCCGACUGUUUAACAAAAACCUAACCUUCUGCUAGUUCGUAAGGAUGUGUAUAGAAGGUGAUAUCUGCCCAGUGCCAGUACUUUAAGCUUCGUUCCAACGGAGUGAAGAGCUGGUAAACGGCGGGAGUAACUAUAACUCUCUUAAGGUAGCGAAAUGCCUUGCCGUUUGAAUGACGGCCUGCAUGAAUGGUAUAACGAGAUUGUCACUGUCCCAAUCUAGAGUCUCCCGAAUACUCUUUCCUGGUGCAAAGGCCAGGGAAUUCCAGUGGGAAGCGAAGACCCCGUGAAACUUUACUGUAGCCUGUCGCUGUGAUGUGGUUUUUGUUGUAUAGUGUAAGUGGGAGCUGUUUGAGGUCAAUGUCGUCAGAUAGUGACUUAGGCAACAAUGUAACACCACUCUUCAUGAACUAUAUCACUUA